GGGUUAACAGACAAAAUGAAAAGAAAAAGGCAACAGCUCCUAUAUUUACAUAAUUACACACUCAUUUCUGAGCUUUCUGUUCCAUUUCUUUUAAAUCUUACUGCUCUGUUGAGUGUUUGUUGAACAUCAGCACUGGGCUGUCACUGUGGACUCUGUUUGUUUGCUUCCUCUGCUGACGUUGUGCUGGACUCAAGCCGAUCAAGGAGGAAACUGUAGCAAUUACCGGUGCUGCUCCACACCAAUCAAUCCGCUCUUCACUUUCUCCUGUAGUAAUUCUGACCAAAUACAAGCCAGGUUUCUGAUGUAGCUGUCUGUACAUGUGACAGCUGUAGCUUUGUUUGUGCUGUACUUGCAACACCCAGCAGACCUGAGUAGACUCACCUGGUCCAAGUGGAACCAUGAAGACCUCCGACUCAUGACGAGUUAAAUCGUUUAUGUUGUACAAUCAGAAUACUUGCUGUUAAGUUCACAACUACAAACCAAAUGUUAAACGCAGAGGUUGACUGAUUUCAGAUCAGGAGAACAGAAGUGUGUUUGUGUUAGAGUCAUAGUCUUAUCGCUCUGUUCCACCACAAAGUGAUAAAUGAAUGCACGUCUUUGUUUGCAUUGUAAACACCUGCAGGCCCAGGUGUUGAACUGUAGCUGAGCGUUAAAAUGUUUAAUUGUACUUGUACAAAAAAAUCGAAUCUACAUUUAAGAUCAUGCCCCCAGAACAGACAGAAGAUUUUAAUGUCAACUAAAAGAUUUGAGUGUUUGAAGUUAAAUUAUACGCUGGUCGACAGUGUGUUUAGAAAUGAUCAGCCUCUGAGCUUAAAUGUACUGUGGUGAGGUGGGAGGAAAAAAUAUUAAUGCGUUGCCACAAGAAAGAUAAGUAAGGCGUGGCCACUGCGGCAUGGCCAUUACUUUAAUUGAAGUAUAUCACAGUAGUUCAUACCAAAGGUGAACAUAAAAUGAAAUCAAAUUGAGGUGUUCCGUGUUGGUAAGAGCGUCUAAUCCAGGGUGUGCUACACAAUACAGCAAUCUCGUAGGUGAAUUGUCUUGUGGUCACGCAUGACUAACUCAUGGCCACAUUUUUUUUCUCACAUCACCAAAGGGACUCAGUAGUGCCACAUUAUGUAAUAACAGUGCAAUAUGUAAUAAUUUUUCACCUCAUUAUGUAAUAGCAUCAUAUUUUGUAAUAACUUAUUACAUAUUGCAAGUCAUUAUAAAAUCCAGGUGUAGCACUUUUUUAAAGAAAAUUUAAUAAUUUGGUGCAUUAUGUAAUAAAUCAUCGAAAAACCAUUAAAAUUGAUGCGUUAAUUGGAAAAAACAGCAUACCAGCAGAACAUUAAGCAUUCCAGCUUAAUUAGAAUCCAUUUUUUUUAAAAAACUAGUUGGAUGUUUCAUUGGUCAAACCUAAAUCAAAUAUAAUUAUAUUCAUGGGUCUGCAAAUUACAGACAAAAGCUGCACUAAUUAACUAUUACAGACAAAGUGCGGCAAAGUUUAUUACAAAAUACGUUGUUAUUACAUAAUGAGGUGAAAAAUUAUGAUAUUAUUACAUAUUGCACCAUUAUUAUAUAAUGUGGCACUUCAGGCUCUGUAUAAAUGUGCUUAAUUUGCUGUAAUUAAACAAAUGAUGAAAGUGCUGGUUAGCUGAUGUUUCUGAUAUAAAAGAUAAAGUGUUGUUCACAUAUAUUGGUUUAUGUACAUUUAUACAAUAGGUUUAUAAAUCUUCCACUAGAAAGAACCAGUAAAGUGAAUGUAUUGUAAUGUUCAGACAGUGAAUUUGAAGUUGAUCUGGUUGCUCCGAGACGAACAUUUCUUUUGAGUAAAGCCCAUUCUUUUAUUAAUUCUCAGCCAACCAGCAUUUUUGACUUUUUUUUUUUUUUUUUUUUUAUUAGUGAUUCAAACUUGAUAACGUCGCACUACUUUUAUUCUGGAGGCAUUUUCCUUGUAGACCUGUGAAUCUUUAAAUGUGUUUUUAUAAUGAAAAUAAUUCUAAAAAGGCAUUUAAAGACAUUACAGUGCAAAAGGAAGGAACAUUCUGAAAGUAACUGGCUGAAAAAACAGUUUACCAUUGCCUGUGAACUGGGAAAUACUAGUAACUGUUAUGCAAUUACAAUCAAACAGGAUAUGUUUCUGCUUAUGAUGCUGAAAGUGUUGCACAUUUGCCUCCAGGACAGACAGAAUAUAUUACUGCUAGUAGCUCUAAAAAUGUCAUUUGGGGCUUCUCAACAAAAGAUUUUGCAGAUGUCAUGCUGGAAUUAGGGAAACUGAUCUUUUUUUGCUUUAUGCUGAAAUAUAAUGAGGGCCGCUGGUAGAUAUCUCAAGCUCAGAUGUUGACAGAAUGAGUUAAAAAAUGUACCUGAAUAUUCAUUUUCAUAUUAUUUCCAACAUGUAGAGUAAAAGAAUGUAACUUAAUUUUCGUGCAGAUUCAUGUGUUGGUCAUUAUUGAGAUUCUUUAGAAAAUAAAUCUAAACUUCCAUCUGUUUUCAAACUUGUUUUAUGGAGAAAUGACAGAGUUUGAGCUGUUUGAAGGAGUGUUUCUCCUGUUUUAUUGUCAUCGCUGUUCAAUCUGACACUGAAAAGUAGUUCAACAGUGAAUCAGUCGACCUCGCUGUGAAUCUGAUCUUUAUCUUCUGCUGUAGCUGUUUUAUCAGGAAUUAAAAACAUUCAUCUCUC